UGUAAAUUAAUUAAAAUAACCUAAUAAGACAAAUGAUAAAAGCUAUCAUUUUUUUUCAUUCUUUCUUCUUCAACCGUGGGAAAGAACAGAAAAUAGCAGCCAUGGAUGAGCUCCAUUCGGCCAAGCUUUUAUGGCUUAUAUAGAUGAUGAAAAUUGAGACUUGGACCUAGAACGGAAAGAAAUCGAUUUAUGGACGAGUAUGUCCUUUUCACAUUUGUGGUAUCGAGAGUUCCAGGUUAGCUCGGGUUGGAGGCCGUCAGAGAUAUUAUCACCCUAUCGAGUUAACGUUAUCGGAGUAAGUAAACUCAAGUGAUUCAGUCUAUGGCAUGUAUAGGGAUUUAAUGUGAGUAUGUAAUAUUAUGAUUUAGCCAAAGGCAUUGGCUUGUUAUUAAGGUAGUAUUAGUCAUGUAAAUUGGCCUAUGUCGGCUAAUGACGUUAUGGGCCCAUAUGAUUAUUCUUAUGCAUUUAUGUUAUUAUUUCUUGUGAUGUGGCUUACAACAUGUAUGCCUAGAGAUUGAAUUGAGAUUCAUUGAUGAGCUAGUAACUAAUGCAGGAUUAAGUGAUUGGUAAAUAGUUAAUAA